GUGGCACAGUUGGUAGAGCUGUUGCCUUGCAGCAAAAAGGUCCGGGUUCGAUUCCCGGC
rnacentral:tRNA from 1 species